UGUUCACUGAAGGUUGGACAUGGAGAACAAUUGAUCACCAUCCUCUUUCUAACAGACUUUAACAUAUUGAAGACUUUUAUCAGGUCCCCCCAUAGUUUUCUUUUCUCAAGACUAAACAUGCCCAGCUUUUUUAAUCUUUCCUCAGAGGUCAGGUUUUCUAAACCUUUUUUCAGUUUGUUGCUCUCCUCAGG